UACGUAGGUGGCUAGCGUUGUCCGGAUUUACUGGGCGUAAAGCGCGCGCAGGCGGUCGUUCAAGUCGAGUGUGAAAGCCCCCGGCUCAACUGGGGAGGGUCACUCGAUACUGAUCGACUUGAAGGCAGAAGAGGGAAGCGGAAUUCCCGGUGUAGUGGUGAAAUGCGUAGAUAUCGGGAGGAACACCAGUGGCGAAGGCGGCUUUCUGGUCUGUUCUUGACGCUGAGGCGCGAAAGCUAGGGUAGCAAACG
rnacentral:rRNA from 1 species